UNGGAACCGCAUGGUUNNNAAGUGAAAGAUGGUUUUGCUAUCNNUNAUAGAUGGGACNCNNNGCCGUAUUAGCUAGUUGGUAAGGUAACGGCUUACCAAGGCGACGAUANGUAGCCGACCUGANAGGGUGAUCGNCCACNCUGGAACUGAGACACGGUCCAGNCUCNUACGGGNNNNNNCNGUAGGGAAUCUUCCGCAAUGGGCGAAAGCCUGACGGAGCAACGCCGCGUGAGUGAUGAAGGGUUUCGGCUCGUAAAACUCUGUUAUUAGGGAAGAACAAAUGUGUAAGUAACUGUGCACGUCUUGACGGUACCUAAUCAGAAAGCCACGGCUAACUACGUGCCAGCAGCCGCGGUAAUACGUAGGUGGCAAGCGUUAUCCGGAAUUAUUGGGCGUAAAGCGCGCGUAGGCGGUUUCUUAAGUNUGAUGUGAAAGCCCACGGCUCAACCGUGGAGGGUCAUUGGAAACUGGGAAACUUGAGUGCAGAAGAGGAAAGUGGAAUUCCAUGUGUAGCGGUGAAAUGCGCAGAGAUAUGGAGGAACACCAGUGGCGAAGGCGACUUUCUGGUCUGUAACUGACGCUGAUGUGCGAAAGCGUGGGGAUCNNNCAGGAUUAGAUACCCUGGUAGUCCACNCCGUAAACGAUGAGUGCUAAGUGUUAGGGGGUUUCCNCCC
rnacentral:rRNA from 1 species